AUGAUAAGCUCAACGUGAGCUGUGAAUGCACUCUUGCAGCCCAGAAAGCCAACCCAAACCACUCUAUGAUUCAAUGAUUCUAUGAUAUUAGCAUGCCAGCUAAUCUUCAUUCAUACAUGCCUCCUGCACACUGGCAAGACUCGAGCUGAGGGUUACCCAUCCCUAUAUUCUAAUUCCGUUUUGUAGGAAGAAAAGCCCUCAACAUAUGACAAGUGGCAUGUAAUUUAACAAAUAUAAUGUUGGUUUCAGAUUUCACAAGCAAGAAGUUCACAUCACAUUGCUAAGGGGUCUCACACCUUAAGCCGUGGUGUACACACCACCCUACUGCAGAUCAAUAGAAAACAACAUUUAGUUUCACACUUCCAAUUUGAGUGAUUCUCCUUUGAUGCUUAAAGUUGCCUGCUCAGAUAUCCAAAGAGCAGUAACAAAAUCCCAAAUAACUUGAAGACAGGUCCAAUAUAAAAUAGCUAAGGAUAGCUGCAGGUGCUAGUUCUCCACUAACUUCUCUAGUUAUUGUGUCUAUUAAUUUGCAAAAUACUUUUUUUUUCCUUUUUUUUUUUUUUUUUUUUUUGUAUUCUCUUUGAUUUCAGUGAAGACCAAAACAAAGCAAGCAGGAACUUUCACAGGAACAGACAGAUUUUGUGUUAUUUUACACAGUCACUCAGAGGCCCUCAGAUCACAAUACUUUAAAACAGUAACUACCAAGUUUCAUGUGGCCUGGGGGCAAGAAAAGAGUAACUAGUACUCUCUGCUGAACUCCAGAGUCCGGUGGAGGACAUAGCCAAAGACCAACCUCAACGCCAUUGACUGACUCCCAGCAGCAGAUGCCAGAACAUGUAUGCAGCUCCUUUGCAAGGCAAAGAUGCUGCCAUCAGAUUUGUGCCAGGCGCUCAGAGGGGGUGGAUGAGCCGUGGGACCGUGGGGGUCUGCGCCAGGCUGCCUGGGAAUGGCCAUCCCUCCAGUGGCACCUUGGUGGCAGGGGCAUGAGCCAUGGCCAGAGCAGGGAAAAGAUGAGGAGCCAGGCAUGUAUUUUGAUAUUGAGACAGAGACAGAGACAGAGACAGAGACAGAGAGAAUUAAAACCAAAGUCCCAUAACUAAAAUAGCAGCUUCUCCUUUUCUCGUGUCAGCUGGUGACCCAGCACUAUAAACGCUUCUCCUCAGCACAGGGGUCACAAACAGGA